rnacentral:rRNA from 1 species
AGCGUACACGGUGGAUGCCCUGGCAGUCAGAGGCGAUGAAGGACGUGCUAAUCUGCGAUAAGCGUCGGUAAGGUGAUAUGAACCGUUAUAACCGGCGAUUUCCGAAUGGGGAAACCCAGUGUGUUUCGACACACUAUCAUUAACUGAAUCCAUAGGUUAAUGAGGCGAACCGGGGGAACUGAAACAUCUAAGUACCCCGAGGAAAAGAAAUCAACCGAGAUUCCCCCAGUAGCGGCGAGCGAACGGGGAGGAGCCCAGAGCCUGAAUCAGUAUGUGUGUUAGUGGAAGCGUCUGGAAAGGCGCGCGAUACAGGGUGACAGCCCCGUACACAAAAAUGCACAUGCUGUGAGCUCGAUGAGUAGGGCGGGACACGUGGUAUCCUGUCUGAAUAUGGGGGGACCAUCCUCCAAGGCUAAAUACUCCUGACUGACCGAUAGUGAACCAGUACCGUGAGGGAAAGGCGAAAAGAACCCCGGCGAGGGGAGUGAAAAAGAACCUGAAACCGUGUACGUACAAGCAGUGGGAGCACGCUUAGGCGUGUGACUGCGUACCUUUUGUAUAAUGGGUCAGCGACUUAUAUUCUGUAGCAAGGUUAACCGAAUAGGGGAGCCGAAGGGAAACCGAGUCUUAACUGGGCGUUAAGUUGCAGGGUAUAGACCCGAAACCCGGUGAUCUAGCCAUGGGCAGGUUGAAGGUUGGGUAACACUAACUGGAGGACCGAACCGACUAAUGUUGAAAAAUUAGCGGAUGACUUGUGGCUGGGGGUGAAAGGCCAAUCAAACCGGGAGAUAGCUGGUUCUCCCCGAAAGCUAUUUAGGUAGCGCCUCGUGAAUUCAUCUCCGGGGGUAGAGCACUGUUUCGGCAAGGGGGUCAUCCCGACUUACCAACCCGAUGCAAACUGCGAAUACCGGAGAAUGUUAUCACGGGAGACACACGGCGGGUGCUAACGUCCGUCGUGAAGAGGGAAACAACCCAGACCGCCAGCUAAGGUCCCAAAGUCAUGGUUAAGUGGGAAACGAUGUGGGAAGGCCCAGACAGCCAGGAUGUUGGCUUAGAAGCAGCCAUCAUUUAAAGAAAGCGUAAUAGCUCACUGGUCGAGUCGGCCUGCGCGGAAGAUGUAACGGGGCUAAACCAUGCACCGAAGCUGCGGCAGCGACGCUGAUGCGUUGUUGGGUAGGGGAGCGUUCUGUAAGCCUGCGAAGGUGUGCUGUGAGGCAUGCUGGAGGUAUCAGAAGUGCGAAUGCUGACAUAAGUAACGAUAAAGCGGGUGAAAAGCCCGCUCGCCGGAAGACCAAGGGUUCCUGUCCAACGUUAAUCGGGGCAGGGUGAGUCGACCCCUAAGGCGAGGCCGAAAGGCGUAGUCGAUGGGAAACAGGUUAAUAUUCCUGUACUUGGUGUUACUGCGAAGGGGGGACGGAGAAGGCUAUGUUGGCCGGGCGACGGUUGUCCCGGUUUAAGCGUGUAGGCUGGUUUUCCAGGCAAAUCCGGAAAAUCAAGGCUGAGGCGUGAUGACGAGGCACUACGGUGCUGAAGCAACAAAUGCCCUGCUUCCAGGAAAAGCCUCUAAGCAUCAGGUAACAUCAAAUCGUACCCCAAACCGACACAGGUGGUCAGGUAGAGAAUACCAAGGCGCUUGAGAGAACUCGGGUGAAGGAACUAGGCAAAAUGGUGCCGUAACUUCGGGAGAAGGCACGCUGAUAUGUAGGUGAAGUCCCUCGCGGAUGGAGCUGAAAUCAGUCGAAGAUACCAGCUGGCUGCAACUGUUUAUUAAAAACACAGCACUGUGCAAACACGAAAGUGGACGUAUACGGUGUGACGCCUGCCCGGUGCCGGAAGGUUAAUUGAUGGGGUCAGCGCAAGCGAAGCUCUUGAUCGAAGCCCCGGUAAACGGCGGCCGUAACUAUAACGGUCCUAAGGUAGCGAAAUUCCUUGUCGGGUAAGUUCCGACCUGCACGAAUGGCGUAAUGAUGGCCAGGCUGUCUCCACCCGAGACUCAGUGAAAUUGAACUCGCUGUGAAGAUGCAGUGUACCCGCGGCAAGACGGAAAGACCCCGUGAACCUUUACUAUAGCUUGACACUGAACAUUGAGCCUUGAUGUGUAGGAUAGGUGGGAGGCUUUGAAGUGUGGACGCCAGUCUGCAUGGAGCCGACCUUGAAAUACCACCCUUUAAUGUUUGAUGUUCUAACGUUGACCCGUAAUCCGGGUUGCGGACAGUGUCUGGUGGGUAGUUUGACUGGGGCGGUCUCCUCCUAAAGAGUAACGGAGGAGCACGAAGGUUGGCUAAUCCUGGUCGGACAUCAGGAGGUUAGUGCAAUGGCAUAAGCCAGCUUGACUGCGAGCGUGACGGCGCGAGCAGGUGCGAAAGCAGGUCAUAGUGAUCCGGUGGUUCUGAAUGGAAGGGCCAUCGCUCAACGGAUAAAAGGUACUCCGGGGAUAACAGGCUGAUACCGCCCAAGAGUUCAUAUCGACGGCGGUGUUUGGCACCUCGAUGUCGGCUCAUCACAUCCUGGGGCUGAAGUAGGUCCCAAGGGUAUGGCUGUUCGCCAUUUAAAGUGGUACGCGAGCUGGGUUUAGAACGUCGUGAGACAGUUCGGUCCCUAUCUGCCGUGGGCGCUGGAGAACUGAGGGGGGCUGCUCCUAGUACGAGAGGACCGGAGUGGACGCAUCACUGGUGUUCGGGUUGUCAUGCCAAUGGCACUGCCCGGUAGCUAAAUGCGGAAGAGAUAAGUGCUGAAAGCAUCUAAGCACGAAACUUGCCCCGAGAUGAGUUCUCCCUGACUCCUUGA